CCCACCCCCCCCAAAUCGAAGAGAGGCAAACAAUUGUAGAUGUGAAGUAGGCGAGGUCUCUGUGGAUUGAAGGAAGAGAAUAAACUGAAAUCGGAGAGGAAAAGAUGAUAUACCGUAAAUGGAGUCUGCUAACAGGGCCAAUGGUAAUCUUGGGCGGGAUCAUGGGCACUGCUGUCGCAGUUCGCGUCCUUUUCUUCGAAAAUCCAUAUCUUAAACCAGAGCAGAAGAAGCAGGACUCAACACCAUUGACCAAAUAGAAUGGAGGUGAAAUGUGUCACGAAUGCAUUGUAAUCUUUGGUGGAAGUUUGUGUUCUUUUUAUUACAAUGGAUCUUCCAAAGCUGCUAUGAGAGAGAUGCGUUUUAGCUGAAUAAUAAUGUGGAGAUUUUAAAUCAACAUUUGAGUAACUGUUUUAGUUGUUUCUUAAUAGUUCAAACACUAAGUUCUUUUGGCUUUAAAUCUCAUAUGGAGUCUUCCAAAAGAAAGCAUAAUUCAACUGCUUGCUUUGGUUUAUGAUGAUUGCUGUGAAGUUUUUU